UGGUUGUCAUCUUAUGAGUAUGAAAUUAGUUAGUUUAUAUAGUUGA
rnacentral:tRNA from 1 species